GUGCUCACUUCGGCAGCACAUAUACUAAAAUUGGAACGAUACAGAGAUUAGCAUGGCCCCUGCACAAGGAUGACAUGCAAAUUCGUGAAGCAUAGUACCUGCUC
rnacentral:snRNA from 1 species